AGCGCAUCUAGUUCAGCUAAAAUGAACGAACUUGAGGACGGUCGUAGAUGGCUACAAAGAGUGCAACAUGGCGACGUAUAGUGCAAGUUGUUUUUAACUUUAUUCUUUAUAAAUAAAUAGUGUCUGCGUAAGUUCGAAAAAAAAACUCGUAUCUUGUUAUUCUUUGCGAGCGAUUGUGGGAGCAUCACAACGACGUGAAAGAAGUGAUUUAAACAUGAAUUACAAUCAUUCGAACGCUCGUCGAGGGAAACCGAAGAGAUUACUGGAUCCAUCGGCUGCUUUACAACCACCACCACCACCUUUAUCAGCACCAGCUCCUCCAAUGUCGCAGAAUCUUUAUGUGUACAACAAACAGAUACCAGUGAACAAUGGCGCAAUGCCAGAGUAUGGCUUCAAUGUUCCUAGACAGACACCGCCUCCAUAUGGAUUUCAUUCACAGAUGCCAAAUUACCCACAAAAUGAUAAUCAAGGAGGAGAAUUUGCAAGUUCUCAAUUUGCG